AGUGAACGCUGGCGGUAGGCCUAACACAUGCAAGUCGAACGGCAGCACAGGAGAGCUUGCUCUCUGGGUGGCGAGUGGCGGCCGGGUGAGGAAUACAUCGGAAUCUGCCCAGUCGUGGGGGAUAACGUAGGGAAACUUACGCUAAUACCGCAUACGACCUUCGGGUGAAAGAGGGGGAUCGCAAGACCUCUCGCGAUUGGAUGAGCCGAUGUCGGAUUAGCUAGUUGGCGGGGUAAUGGCCCACCAAGGCGACGAUCCGUAGCUGGUCUGAGAGGAUGAUCAGCCACACUGGAACUGAGACACGGUCCAGACUCCUACGGGAAGCAGCAGUGGGGAAUAUUGGACAAUGGGCGCAAGCCUGAUCCAGCCAUACCGCGUGGGUGAAGAAGGCCUUCGGGUUGUAAAGCCCUUUUGUUGGGAAAGAAAUCUUUCAGGCUAAUACCCUGGGAGGAUGACGGUACCCAAAGAAUAAGCACCGGCUAACUUCGUG
rnacentral:rRNA from 1 species